AAAAAAUCUAAUAAAAAAAAUGAAGUUUAUAUGUAUUCAAACUACAAUAUUCAUCUGACGAUACAAAUUAUAUUGUUAAAAGUAUUCAAAACUACUUAAACCCCACAUUUUACAAAAUACCCUAAUAUAAGUAACCACCGGCAGCAAAAUAUUUUGUGCCAAAAACCAACGCCCACCAAAUUCUAGUAGUAAAUCACUUGUAGAGUCUUAGCAGUGAGAGGCCAGCAAUUAAUGCCUCCCCCGAUCACCACCACUCUUUUAUUCUUUCCUCUUCAUUUGUUAUCCAUGCCCUCAAAUGUUGCAUUUGCAAAUCCUUUACAUGCAGUCUUGAAUUAUAGCAUCAUGAAAAAUUACAAAAAAAAAUGUUUUGCAAGCAUUUUACUAUUUUUUAUCAAAGAAGCUUACCGCAAGCAAAAUAUUUUAAGUAACAAGAAUUGACGUACGUCAACAUCUUCUGUUAGUACUCACACGUUAUACAUUUAUGUAAUGUUAAGCAUCAAAAAAUGGCCUGAAAUCUAAUAACCAAGAAUAGGUUUACAUACUGCACUGUCAAAUGUGUAACAGAGGAGAGAAAAUGAUUAGAAUUUUAAGCACAAUUAGGGGAAAAAAAGGAACAAAAGCGAAAAUUUCAAUAAAAGAAAAAGAUUUAAUUGAAACAACUUCUACCUAAUGACGCAAAAGAAUAUUAUGGGCAUUUCAUGCGUAGAUACAUUAUUCCAUUUCCAAACACAAUCAAAGUGUAAACUCAACCAAACACUUAGCAGCUUGAUGCCAAGAGAUAAGUGUUUUGAAACGUUAUUUUAAACUAUUAAUGAAACAAAAAAAUGAAAAAUAAAAGUAUGAACUAUUAACAAGACAACCCAAGAGGGGGUGAAUUGGGUUUCUAAAAAUUUAAGCAAUUAAAGUUAAAUGCAAUUUAAACAAAGCAACCAAAUUCGAAAUAAACAAAUUAAUGUGCAAUGAAAAAUAAAAAGAUAGGGUAAGAGAGCAAACACGCAAUUUUUACGUGGUUCGGCCAAUCGUGCCUACAUUCACGCCUCCAAGCUCACUGGGCUUGAGAAUUUCACUAAGUAAGCCUCCAAGGCUUCAACAACUCUUAUAAUUGACUUUCAAUGUGUCAACAGACCUUUGCAACAAGAAAUUAUCCCCAAUAUCUUAACCCAAGUGUAUCUCAACACUUACAAUCACUUAAUCAAUAAAGAUUACAAAUGAGUUUUCUCUCACACAAUGAAUAUGGUUACAAGUUAAAGCUCAAAGUGUGAAUCAAUGAAACAAAAACAAGUUUAAAGCUCAAUACUAGUUAUAUACUCAGUAGCAAGCUCAAUGAUAACUGUUCGAUCUCUUUUUAUUUGAAUUUAAUUGAGUCAUUUUGUAGUUGGAACUGAAAACUAGCCAUUUUUGACUUUCUGAACAAAAUCGAAUCACCGUUAACUGCUAUUGGUUUACCAUUUUGACUAGUCCAAAUGACCAUUGAGCUGAGAUUUUAAAUAAACGGUUAACCGUUUGAAAUUAUUGAUUAGCCAUUUAUUUUCAGAAACCUGCAAAACAAAUUUGGCUUAACCGUUCCUGCUAAAUGGUUCAUGGUUAUCUAAUACCUUUCUAGAAAUUAUCGGUUAACCGUUUUCAGUAAACGAUUCGCCGUUAUUUUUCAAAAUCAGCAUUUUAAUAGUCUUUUGUAGAGAAUGAUUUUCUAAUUAAAGUUAAUUAUUAUCUAAAUUCAUAAACACAUCUGAAAAUAUUAUAUAGCUUUAAGAGUUUGUUUAAUAUUGAUAGCUCCAACAUUUUUAAUCAAAAACAUAUAAAGUUUAUUAUCAUCAAAAUUAAUAUUAUAUAAUUAUUUAUGUCAACAAAGUAAACUACAGCAACAUAGUACGCUAGAAAUGCAAGUUGAAAUUAUACCCCACGUAUAAAAAAACAGUUAAAGCAAAUUGAUGAAAUUCAAGCCCCUUCUCUUGAAUGUGUUUUAAAGUAGGUUCUAUUUCAAUAAAAGACUAGUUAGUAGAGUAGGGAUAUUAUUUGAAGAAAAUAAUACAACAGGAACCAAAUAUUGUAAACAUACAUAUGCAUCCAAUGCAAGUUAGGGAGCACCAAAUGCUGCUAGGUAUAUACAUUUCUUAAGAGCAAUGUUAGCCUAACUCUUUGUUAAGGCCUCAAGUGAAAACACCAAAGAAACUAUUUUAAUGGUAGCAUGGGGUAAAGAACUUUCAAUUUGAAGUCCAUUAAUCUUAAAUGUCUUAAAAGUUGACUUCGUAUAAGCUUUCCUUUCUCGUCUGCACAACUAAAAGUUCCAGAUAAGAAAAUUUAACUUCUAACCAAUUUGGUACCAAAAACAAUUUUUUACAAUUAAAAGAAGACAAAAGAACAGGAAAUGCUUACAUUAAUAAUUGUCAUGGCCUGGCCAUCGGGCAUGUGAGAACAUUAAUAUUUUUUGAAAUGUUAAUGGGAAUGUAAAUGCACCAUAUAUAAAAAUUUCAAGUCAUUUUGGUAACAUUUCAUUAGGUUUUAACAUGAUAAAACUACGUCAAUCGAAAUUGUUGAUAAAACUAUGUCAAUACAUAUGGGUCCACUGUUUUCAUUUUCAUUGUCCCUUUCAUUUUGUAAGUAAACAACAUCAAUAUUAAUGAUUCUAAUUCUGGAUUCCCAUUCAUUAUAAACACAUACAACAGUAAGACCUAAUGAGUUGUAUUCCUAUUAAUGUAUUUAAUUUAUUUUGAAUGAGAAUGAAUUGUUUUCAGUUGUUACAAAACCCUUAAUUAAUUAUUAUUAGUUUUACUAUCAUAUGUAAUAAUUGUGAUUAUUAUUAUUAUUAAAAAUAGAUGUUACUAAUAAUAAUAACUAUUAUUCUUGCAACAACAACAACAACAAUAAUAACAAAAGUAAUGAUUAUGAUGCUGGUGAAAAUGAUAAUAUUAAUAAUUAACAAUAAUAAUGAUAAUGAUAAUGAUAAUAAUAAUAAGAAGAACAAAAAUAAUGACAGUGAUGAUCAUAUAAUGAUGAUGAUGGUGGUAAUGAUAAUAAUAAGAAGAAGAACAAAAAAUAAUGACGAUGACGGUGACGGUGAUGAUGAUGAUGCUUUAAUUGAAGACAAAAGUGAAAUUAUGAAAUUUCAUUAGGGUAAGAUGGUGAGUUCAAGGAAUCAAAACUUGAUUCCCAAUGUUCUAUAUUUCCAAUUUUAUAUCGGUUCCACUAUUUUCUUUCUCAUUCCUCCUUCCCUUUUUGCAAGUAAACAACAUUGAUUAGUGUUAAAAAUUAUAUGUUUAUUAAGGUGUAAAAAUGUUAUUUUGUGCUAUUAAUAUAAUUUACAUUUGUAAUUAUUUAACAUAUUAUGAAUUUCUAAUUAUUUUUCUAAAUAUUUGAUUUUGUGUAUUUUUGUGUGUUUAUUAGGUAAAAAUAAUAAUUUUACGCAAUUUGGGGCUCCAAACAAAUAUACGGAUGUCAAAUUUGGAUUCUGAAAGUCCGAGAAAUUAGGUGAUUGUCAAGGAGGAUUCGCGACUUUUGUUGUAAAAUUAUAAGGUUUUACCACAGUAAAUGCGGUAAUUGUGAAAUUAUAAGUUUUUAUCAUGUUAGGUAUGGUAAUUGUUAGUGGAAUGUAUUGGAUGUGCUUGAGUGAAUUAAGUUAGAUUCAUGUUUUGUUAGUGAGACAAAUGUAAGGCUAAGAUAUAAUUAGUUUUAUUUAUUUGUGUGGUGUGAAUUAAUCUUGUAUUAGUAUAAAUAGAGAGGGGGGGGGGGGGGGGGAGGGGGACACACCUCUCCACACAUUUCCUUCUCUUCUUUCCCCUCAAAUUCUUCUUCUCAUCUCUCUUUGUAAUAUAUUUUCAAUAAAUAAAAUUAGUUUUAUUUCAAUUUUCAAAUACCAUAUUUUUAUUUAUGUAUUUUUCAAUUUUAAUAAUUUCUUUUAUUUCAAAUAUGUUUAGCUAAAUACUAAUAGUUAGGGUAGAAAAAAUAUGAUUUAAUCAAAUUCUAUUUUUAAUUAUAUAAAUUAAAUUAUUUUCUAUUUAAUUUUAUCCAUAUUUUAUAUUUUGAAAUUUUGAUUUAUUGUAGACAAACAUGGGAGUUUGACACAAUCAAUUCUUAAUAUCUUAGUAUAAAGUAUGUUAAAAUGGUAUUUUAACUUAUUGUAGACAAGUUAAGUUUUGGCACAUAAGUACUUAAUCCAUAACAAAAUUAAUGGGAAAAAAAUAUAAUUUAUACAAUUAAUCUUUUAGAUAAUAAAAUAAAAAUAAAAAGAAUUUACUAAAUUAUAUUUUUUACUAUUAGCGGAUCAAUAACCCUAACUAAUUCAAUUUUAUAGUUUUUCUCAAAUUAAAUUGUAAAUAUUUAAAUUUUAUUUUAUUUUUUUAGAUAAACUUAAAUAAAUUAAUUAAAUCAUUUCGCUAUGGAUCGACCUUGGACUCACUGAGAUAUAGUAUAAUUAGGCACUCUUAUACUUGGGAGUAAAAUAAACACUUUUAAGUCAGAUCAACAUCAAUGAUUUCAAUUGUGGAUUCUCUCAAGCCUUACAUUAGAUGUGAGCUUGUAACUAGAUAAAUUUUAAGUUGCAGUCAUGAGUGUUGAGUGCAUGAAGAACACCAGGUCGGCCAUGCAACUAGUUCCAUCCCAGAACGGAUUGCUUCAUCUCUUAUAUACGAGCAGAGCAUGUGGGCAAGCAUGAGCCGAUCAGAGGAGAGAACAACCAGGGAAACAUACCGACCAGAAAUAUAUGCCGAGCCAAUACUCAUCCCCAGGAAAGCGGGAACACGAUCCCACAAAACCGCGGUAGUUGCGUUUCUCCCAGAACGGUUGAAGGACACGCGAGAUCCACGUUUGCCCACAAUCUAACAGUUAGAGUCCCAUGAGGGGCUACCACCACCCGAAAAAGGAGGAAUCAGGGGCAAACGGAAAACGUGGGACAAAGGGCGGCUAUAAAAGAGAAAGACAUCGAAGAAGAUAGGGGAGAAAAAAGAGAGAGAGGGGAAACGCUGCCAAAUUGCAACCAGGCCAUUUCCUUACAAAUUUCCUGAAAUCAUAUUACACUGUUUUCCCGUAAACACCUUGUGCUAACUUAGGCAUCGGAGGGUUUACGCCGGCAAAACCACCGGCGUCUCUGAUCCGUUUUUGGUGAACGCAGGUCUAGCGAGGGAAAAGAAGGUGAUUCCAGCCUGAGUGGUUCGAGCAACAGUCAAUAACGUAAACGUUGGUGAAAGAAUCUGGUCGGUCUAAGGACGAGCAGAUUUCAGCAUCAACAUUUUGGCGCCGUCUGUGGGGAGCUGGAUAAAAAGCUACCACCGAAUUAGGAAGUACCGGAGAAACAGCGAACGGUUAAACAUGGAUGUGACGAGGAAGGACGCUCUGAGGGAGGAUAACGAAGCUGGGGAGACAAUCACUCUUCGGGAAAUUGCAAAUGAAGCCCGAGAGAGGAUGACGCAAGAUAGACUGGAGCGGAUGGAGAAACAAAUGGAGACUCUUGCGGCCGUAUUGUUUGAGCUGAGGGACGAGCGGAGAAGAGAUUGCGAAACCCCCGUGGGAAGAGAUGGAGUUGGAGCAGAACCCAGCCUCCGGGGGCGUAGAGUCGGGGAAAUCCCCCCGUACGGAGACCAACCUAACGGGGUGCAUCCCCACCGAAGUACUGGUCGGGUCCCAGGGGAACACGUUGAUGAAGGGAGAGACCAACCUCGCCCCGGACGGACACUGGAAAUAAAUGGCCGAGGGGCCAGUGUUGAUGAAGGAGAGCUCAAACAGCGAUUGCAGAACGCCGAGCAGGAGCGAGACCAGAUAGCUGCACGUGAUCCUGAUCGUGCUGUAGAAUUGGAGGGGGAGGUGCGCAGAUUGGCGCAGGUGAUAGAGGAGAUGCAGGGCAAGAGAAAGCCCCCGAGCUGGAGGAUAAUGCUAGAUGAAGAAUCUCCGUUGUCAACGGAGAUCAUGAGUACCAUAAUCCCAAAGGAUUUCCGCUUCCCCGACCUCAAAUACUCCGGGCGAAGUGACCCGUUGGUACACAUUGAGCGUUUCAACGACAUGACGGGUGUGCAGGGGCUGACACCAGCUCAGAGAUGUAGGGUGCUCCCGUUGACCCUAGAGGGACGAGCCCGAGAAUGGUACCGCAAGCUGCCCCGAGGAGGAAUAAAGGGGUAUGAGCAGAUAUGCCAGGAGUUGGCCGAGCAGUUUCGGGGGGCAGUGGCCCCAGAGGAUGACAUGAUGGAAUUGAUGGGGAUGAGACAGGAGGAGCACGAGUCCCUGCGAGAUUUUAUAAAGCGAUACCACCGAGCCGUACUUGAUUUGGGAGCUUUCAAUCACCCGCAGGCGUUGAAGGGUUUAAAGGAGGGUGUGAGGAUAGGCCGGCUAUGGUAUAACCUGAGAAGCCCCCUGGUGCAGAAUUAUUCAGCAGGAUAUGAGCAGGCAAAGAGAGAUAUCGAAAUAGAGGAAGAAAAAUCGGCAAAGAUAAAGAGUGAACAGCUGGAGGAGCUAAGACGAAAGGAAAGGAGAACUCCCAAUGGGAGCAGGUCGGGAAAGCGAGCUGGGGAACCCUCAGAAAGGGGCGGAACAUCAGCUAGAUCCCACCCUUACCCCAUAGCUACAAGAUCACAACAGUUCCAGCACAAUCGGGCUCAGCCUCCACGUCUCCCAUUCCCAGAUCGGCAGCGAGAAUUCCGGCAGAUAGCUGCCGACCCCUAUCAUAACACUCCCAGAGCAUCACAUGCAACCAAUCCCAGGGCCAGACGACCAGAUCAGUUAGCAACUAUGCCAGCCCGAGAUGACGUUCAUGAUAGCCGAGCCGUUCAGCUGGUAGACCAGAGCUUGACAUAUAGACAACACACUCCACUAAAGAUCUCCAUGGAGGAAUUGUAUGAGAGGAUUGAGGGACGAGGCCUGCUAUACCCCCCGGCCCCAAUAACAAAACCAACUCACCGACGGGAUAAGAGCAGAUUCUGCAAGUUCCACGACACUCACGGUCACACUAUCAACCAAUGCCGUGACCUGAAGACUCAGGUGGAGGAUUUAGUGAGGAACCGAUACUUGGACGAGUAUGUAGAUGGAAUAUCCCCUGCCACGGAAUCACAGUACACACGGGAUGAAGGAGUUGAGAGGAGUUUAGAACGUGAGCAGCCGACCGUCCGUGUGAUAGCAGGAGGGCCAACAUUGGCCGGAGAUUCGAACAGGGCGCGGAAGAACUAUGGGAGAUACGCCCUGACUAGCAAAGAAGUGCUUUUCAAUUUGCCAGCAGCCAAGAGGGCAAAAGUACGGCAAGUUCCUAUUAUGUGGACAGAGAAUGACGAAGAGGGCAUUUUGUACCCUCACGAGGAUGCACUGGUAAUUAAAGCGUUGGUGGCCAGUACAGAAUUACGGCGAAUACUGGUAGAUACGGGCAGCUCAGUAGACAUUCUGUUUAAGUCGGCCUUAGAUGAUAUGGGGAUUUCAGACUUAAAGCUGGAGCGAACGAAUACAUCCUUGAAGGGAUUUGGAGGGGGACGGUUAACUCCCAUGGGGGUCAUUGAACUCCCGAUUACUGUGGGGACAAAGCCAUUUGAAAGAACGAUGAUGCUGGACUUUGUAGUGGUAGAGGAAAGAAGUCCUUAUCAGAUGAUAUUGGGGAGACCAUUCAUGAGGAUAAGCCAAUGCGUAAUAUCCACGCAUUAUCUGGCGCUGAAGUACCGAAUAAAUGGAGUUGUGGGUGUAGUGAAGGGCGACCAGAGAAUGGCCAGGAGCUGUUAUGCUACAGCGGCCAAGGAAACGCUGCAGGUGACCUCUCUGGAUAAUCGAGGGGAUUCAAAAAAUGGCCGCCAGGAACCUGUUGAGAAGCUGAAGGAAGUUGUUGUAAGCAGGAGCGACCCUAGCAAAGUGGUUAAGGUCGGAUCAGAAUUAGGCGAAGCAAUAAAAGGCGAGCUGGUGAAGUGUCUACAGUCCCAUGCGGACAUAUUUGCCUGGUCUCAUGAGGAUAUGCCAGGUAUUGACCGCGGGAUAGCUUGUCACAAGCUGGCGGUCAAAAGAGGGGCAAGGCCGGUGAGGCAGAAAAGGAGGUGCUUCAACCACGAAAGGUACGAGGCCAUAAAUGCCGAGGUGGAAAAGCUACUGAAAGCAGGAUUUAUAAGGGAAGCUAAGUACCCGGAGUGGAUUUCCAAUGUGGUACUGGUAAAGAAGGCCAAUGGGAAGUGGAGAAUGUGUGUAGACUUCACGGACCUCAAUAAGGCAUGCCCGAAGGACAGCUUCCCCCUGCCGAAAAUAGAUCAGCUGGUGGACUCAACCGCGGGUCAUAGUCUGCUCAGUUUCAUGGAUGCCUUCUCCGGAUACAACCAGAUACCCAUGAACGAGCAGGAUGAGGAAAGCACCACCUUUAUAACUAACAUGGGUUUAUUUUGUUACAGGGUGAUGCCCUUUGGCCUGAAAAAUGCAGGAGCUACCUAUCAAAGGUUGGUGAACAAGGUCUUCAAACCAUUGAUCGGUCGCACUAUGGAAGUAUAUGUGGACGAUAUGAUCACCAAGUCAAGAGAACCGAGGGAUCAUGUGAAGCACUUGGAAGAGACUUUCGAAUUGCUGAGGAGGUACAAAAUGAAGCUGAACCCGGAGAAAUGUGCAUUUGGGGUCAGCUCGGGCAAAUUCUUGGGAUACCUGGUGAGCCAUCGAGGUAUUGAGGCCAACCCGGAGAAGAUACGGGCGGUGAUAGAAAUGAGGUCCCCACGAACAGUUAAGGAGGUGCAGAGCCUUACGGGGAAGCUGGCAGCAUUGAACCGAUUCAUUUCACGAGCCACUGAUAAGUGCCACCCUUUCUUCCAAAUCAUAAAGAAAGGAAAGAAGAUGGAAUGGACACCAGAAUGCGAGGAGGCAUUUGGACAGUUGAAGGAAUACCUAGCCCGCGCCCCGUUACUAUCAACUCCGAGAGAGGGUGACCAGCUGCUUUUGUACUUAACAAUCUCCAAGCGGGCUACCAGCUCGGUCUUAGUGAGGGAGGAAGAAGGGAAGCAACACCCGGUAUACUACACGAGCAAGGCCCUGGUGGACGCAGAAACCCGAUACCCACCAAUGGAGAAGUGGGCGUUGGCUCUGAUAACAGCAGCACGUAAACUCCGACCAUACUUCCAAGCCCACCAGAUCGUUGUAAUGACCGACCAGCCACUUCGGCAAGUACUCCAAAAACCAGAUGCGUCUGGUCGGUUAGUAAAAUGGUCCGUGGAGCUGAGCGAAUUUGACCUGUCCUAUAGGCCCCGAGGAGCAACCAAGGCCCAAGCCCUGGUAGAUUUUAUGGUGGAUUGUGUUGAGCCGGGGGAAGAGGUCCAAGAGGAACAACCGGAGGAGCAAGAGGAUUCAAAGGGGACAUGGCUGGUAAUGGUUGACGGGUCAUGUAGUGAGCAAGGGUCCGGAGCAGGAGUGGUAAUACGGAGCCCAGAGGGAACCGAGAUAACAUAUGCGGUGAAGUUCGAAUUUCAACUCACAAACAACCAAGCUGAGUAUGAAGCCUUUAUCACCGGGCUCGGACUUGCACACGCUCUCAGAGCAGAAAGAGUUGAAAUUCGAGCAGAUUCCCAAUUGGUGUGUAAUCAGCUCAAUGAUCAGUUUCAAGCGAGGGGAGAAAAGAUGGGCCUUUAUUUGAAGAAGGCGAAGCAGAUGGUUAGGCUUUUCCAAGCAGUGGAGGUAAAGCAGAUAUCCCGGAAUGAAAAUUUCCGAGCAGAUAUGCUGGCUAGGAUGGCAGCCAUUGCAGACCCAAAAUUACCGAAAUCGGUUCCAUUAGAGGUAAGGACCUCACCAAGUAUUGAGGAAGAAGCAGAGGUGAUGAGAGUAAGUAUUGGAGAGUCCUUGAUGGACCCGAUUCGCGCAUAUGUCCGCGAUGGAGUUUUACCAGAGGACAAAAGGCAAGCAAGGAAAUUAAAAUGCCGAGCAGCAAGGUAUACGCUACUGGAUGGAGUGCUGUACCGCCGAGGGUUCACCUUGCCCCUUUUGAGAUGUUUGGAUGAUGAGGAGGCGGAUUAUGUGCUGAGAGAGAUUCAUGAGGGAAUAUGCGGCAAUCACUCGGGAGCAAGAACUUUAGCCUUCAAGGCACUCCGGCAAGGAUACUUCUGGCCAACCAUACACCAGGACGCCAAAAGGAUGGCAAAGAAUUGUAAAACAUGCCAAAGCUUCUCCGAGGUUCCUGCACAACCCCCGAAAAAGCUGACGGCGAUGACAUCCCCAUGGCCUUUCGCCCAAUGGGGAAUCGAUUUGAUUGGUCCAUUGCCUAAGGGACGAGGAGCGGCGACAUAUGCAAUUGUGGCAAUAGAUUACUUCACCAAAUGGGUGGAAGUAGGAGUCCUCAGCCAAAUCACAGAGAGGAAGACAACAGAUUUCAUUUGGAAAAAUAUCAUCUGCAGAUAUGGGAUCCCCUACGCCAUCAUCACAGACAAUGGGAGGCAAUUUGACAACGGCAACUUCAGGGAAUUUUGCCGAAACCUGGGGGUGGACCUGAAGUUUUGCACCCCCGCACACCCCCAGGCAAACGGACAAGUGGAAGCGGCCAACAAGGUGAUAAAGAAGCUCCUAAAGACUAGAUUGGGAGAGAAGAAGGGAGCUUGGGUCGACGAGCUAGCAGGAGUACUGUGGGCCUACAGGACAACUCACAAAACCGCCACAGGAGAAACACCGUUCGCUUUAGCCUUUGGUCAUGAGGCGGUAAUCCCAGCAGAGAUUGGAGUGGGAACACAUCGGACGGAAUAUUUCAUUGAGGAGCAAAAUGACGAGCAGAUUUGCUUAAGUCUGGACCUGCUGGAGGAGAGAAGGGAAGGAGCAGCACAGAAAGUGGCCCAGUGCCAGCAAAGGGUCAUGCGUUAUUACAACAAGAACGUACGCGUAAGGCAGUUCCGAGCAGGAGAUUGGGUACUUAGGAGGGUGAACCAGAACACCAGGAAUCCUAACCAUGGCGCUCUUGGCCCAAAGUGGGAAGGUCCGUACAGGGUGAUACGAGCCACUGGACCGGGAGCUUAUAAGUUAGCGUACCAGGAUGGACGAGACGUGAAAAGGUCGUGGAACGCCGAACACUUGAAGAAAUAUUUCCAGUAAGCAGAGUCCUCUACUGAAUUCCCAUUUUGAUAAGUUAUUUCUGUUAACCGCAUGACGGCUUGAUGCGCAUGUAAAUAUUCAGUAGUUUUGUAAUACACUCAAAUUUGAAAUAAAGAUGAAUUCAGCACGAAAUCCCUUUGCUAACAAGCUCAACAAGAAUUUUACUAAGGCCAGCGAGUGCCUAUUUCUGUUCGGUCAGUGAAGACCAGCAGCUAAUUUUCCUAAGGCCAGCGAGUGCCUAUUUCUGUUCGGUCAGUGAAGACCAGCAGCUAAUUUUCCUAAGGCCAGCGAGUGCCUAUUUCUGUUCGGUCAGCGAAGACCAGCAGCUAAUUUUCCUAAGGCCAGCGAGUGCCUAUUUCUGUUCGGUCAGUGAAGACCAGCAGCUAAUUUUACUAAGGCCAGCGAGUGCCUACUUCUGUUCGGUCAGUGAAGACCAGCAGCUAAUUUUACUAAGGCCAGCGAGUGCCUAUUUCUGUUCGGUCAGUGAAGACCAGCAGCUAAUUUUACUAAGGCAAGCGAGUGCCUACUUCUGCUCGGUCAACGAAGACCAGCAGCUAAAGCUUCGAAAAUUCCACUAAGGCAACAAAGUGCCUGUUUCUGCUCGGUCAACGAAAGACCAGCAGCUAAUUCUACGAGAAGUUUACUAAGGCAAGUAAAUACCUACACCUACUCGGUCCACUAAGAAACCAGCAGGCAAGAUCAGAUAAGUCGUGCAAUUAUUUUGCAGAAGCAGUCUAUGAGUAGACAUUAAACAAGGGAGCCAAUAAAGAACAUCUAAAAAUUUAUUAAUGUUCAGUUGGUUACAAAACUAAUGAAAAUCUAAAGUCUAUACAAAAAUAGACCUAAGGAUUAGGAGGGACAGCGGCUUCAGCAGGUGAAGGAUCUGUUGUCCCGGGAGGUGGGAGGUCAGCAAUCUCGGGAGGAGGGGGCACGGACCCCUGUCCCACUUCAAAGACACGCAGCCCAGCUUCUCCCUCCUGCAUCCCAUCCGAAGGAGCAUCCACCUGUUCCUGCUCACCUUGCUCCUUAUCUGCUUGGUCGACCCCCGCCAUAUACCGCUGCACUCUGGCCUCCAGCUUGCUCAUGUCCAGCUCGGGAUAUUCAUCCUUAAGCACAGACAUGAUACACUUAUAGGAGAAGGCAACCCCAGAAUCAUACUCGGCAUCCAGCCGGUCGUCCACAUCAGCGGAUUUGCCUUUCUCCUCAGCCAGCUGCUCACCCAAGGAUUUAAUUUCCUCCUCAAGGGUGGCUCUCAGAGUAUCCCUUUCAACUUGAGUAGCCUGAAGAUCAGAUCUCAGGUCACCCAACUCGCCCUCAAGCUGGGAGGAAGUGGACUCAGCAACUGCAACUUUCUCCUCUAGCUCCAUAUUCAGCUUGUUCAGCUCAGCCAGCUUCUCCUUGGAGCGAUCAGCAGAGUCAGCCUUCUUCUUCAACUCCUGAUUGUCGGCUUGAAGCUUCUUCUCAUGACGCGCGGACCCGGUCUUGUAGCACGAGACCAUUGUGGCCAGCCUGAAGGAAACUCUCUGAACAGAAGCAGCCAACUCGGAGAGGCUCAUGCUCUCGAUGUCCUUCACCAUCUUGGGCCCAACCGAUCUUUUAUAGUCUUUCUGAUAUGGACUCAGGUAAUCACCUUGAUCCCGAGACGGGAGAGGAGAAGAUCGGUCCCCAGACUGCAAGCUGACCUCAGGGCCCUUGUCGGAGGUUUUAUCCCCACCACUCUUACGAGGUGGAGGAGGAGGCAGAGCAGGAAUAGGCGCCUUAGAAGGACCAACGCUAGGUUUCUUCGGAGGAGGAGGAGGGUUGCUAGAGCUGCUCGGAGCCCGACCACGCUUCCUGCUCAUCGCGCUGAGGAUCUUGUUAUCCAUUCCAGCGGCUAAAUCCACUAGGCCCGAACCGACCAGGUUUGUUGGAGACAGGAGGUCUUGGCAGGUAGAAGCGUUCACCAGAGCAGUUUCCACCUGAAGCAAGGGUCGAUCUUCAAGCCCCCCGAUCAGACCCCACGACUCUGAAAUAGCACAAAAGGUUAAAGAACCCAAUAAGUAGCAAUUUAAUUAAGAAUAUAGGCAAAAAUGAGCGACCUGGGGUGACAAAAUGGGUGGGAAGAUAAAGAUCCCCACCAAGCGACCGAACUGCUGGGCACCAUUUCCCUCCAGCAAAGAAGAAUUUGUUCUUCCAAUUUUUGCAAGAAGAUGGAAACCCAGUGAUCGGUUUCCUCUUUGCAGAACUGGACAUAAAGUAGUACCAGCCCGCCUCCUUCGGGCUACUCCGCAGCUGAUACAGAUGUUUCACUUCAACAAGGGAAGGCUCCUCCAACCCGCACCUCUCCCACAACACAAACAUUGCCGAGAGAACCCUCCACCCAUUUGGGUGUAGCUGACCUGGGGCCAGGUGCAUACCGCUCAGUAUCUUAGCAAAAUAAGGUUGGAGGGGCAGCCGAGCUCCUAGUUUGAAACUCUCCAAGUGCAUCGUCACAUACCCUUUCGGAGGCCGACUGGGGACAUCCCCUUUUCCAGGAACUACAAGAAGAAUCUCGUUGGGGAUAUUGUAGAGAUUCCUAAGUUUAAAUAAAUCGGUGGGGGUAGUGGCGCAAGCCAGGAAAUCAAUAGGGUAGGAAUCAGCCUACCCUAUGACCUAGGUGCCUUUUCUGAGCAGGUCGGCUCGGUCCGGAGCUGCUUCCCUCACCAUCACCUACUCCUUCAGGGAACCCAACCCCACCAGAACUGUGAUUCUCACCAGAGCCCGACGCAGGUCCACCUCUAUUCCCUACAAGCUCUAAUUCGGGGGAAGGAGAGAUAACCAAAGGGCGUGGGUAUUCAAGGGUACUCCUGCCAUGGGAAUGACCUACACUACUGGAGGGUCCUAAGUUAUCAGUGGGUAUUGGCACAUCGAAGCCUGAGUCCCCUGACUCUUCAUCACCCUCAUCAACAAUCAACUUCCUCUUCCGAUUUGACAUACCGGAAUCCCAGAAAGGAAACAGAGAAAACUCGAGUAUAUGGACACAAAGAAGGCAACACAGAACCCAAUCAACAACAACCAGAGGAGAAGUUAAAAGGACUAUACCUGGAAUAGACUGACACUGAUAGCGCCGCCGUGACACAGAAAACACCCGGCGAAUGGAUACUCCGGACGCUGGAAGUGUGAGCAAAGUACAGAGAGAAUUUGGUUGACGGCGGAGAAACGAAUAACAAAAUGAUGAAGACCCCAGUUUAGGGAUUUAAAACGAAAAGGGGAAAAGGGAAGCAUUUAAGUGAUGGGAUAUGCCAGCUCACCCCCCCCAUAUAUCGAGGAUGGAUAGCCCGUCGUUUCAAAUUUCAAAUACGAAGAGUCUGGAGAUGCCGCGUCACCAACCGUUACAAGGGGCCAGGUUAGAUGUAAGCCCAGAUAUGCUAUGUACAGGUCACUUAGGCCCAUGCUCAGAUCGGGGCCUCCUCAGUAGAAAAAUAAUACAUCAGGUCAGGCCCGUCUCAGUAAAAAGAGGGUCAGAUGAGAAGCUCCCUGGGCUGGUGUGAUUUGACCAUCAGUUUCUACUCUUAACUCAUUUCACUCGCCAGACCAGAAACUGGGGGACUGGUGUUGAGUGCAUGAAGAACACCAGGUCGGCCAUGCAACUAGUUCCAUCCCAGAACGGAUUGCUUCAUCUCUUAUAUACGAGCAGAGCAUGUGGGCAAGCAUGAGCCGAUCAGAGGAGAGAACAACCAGGGAAACAUACCGACCAGAAAUAUAUGCCGAGCCAAUACUCAUCCCCAGGAAAGCGGGAACACGAUCCCACAAAACCGCGGUAGUUGCGUUUCUCCCAGAACGGUUGAAGGACACGCGAGAUCCACGUUUGCCCACAAUCUAACAGUUAGAGUCCCAUGAGGGGCUACCACCACCCGAAAAAGGAGGAAUCAGGGGCAAACGGAAAACGUGGGACAAAGGGCGGCUAUAAAAGAGAAAGACAUCGAAGAAGAUAGGGGAGAAAAAAGAGAGAGAGGGGAAACGCUGCCAAAUUGCAACCAGGCCAUUUCCUUACAAAUUUCCUGAAAUCAUAUUACACUGUUUUCCCGUAAACACCUUGUGCUAACUUAGGCAUCGGAGGGUUUACGCCGGCAAAACCACCGGCGUCUCUGAUCCGUUUUUGGUGAACGCAGGUCUAGCGAGGGAAAAGAAGGUGAUUCCAGCCUGAGUGGUUCGAGCAACAGUCAAUAACGUAAACGUUGGUGAAAGAAUCUGGUCGGUCUAAGGACGAGCAGAUUUCAGCAUCAACAAUGAGUUUGAGUCGGUAGAUUUCUGGACAUACUAUAACUAUUUGUAUUUAGAUUUCCAAUAAAUUUAAAAUUAUAAUACCUAUUGUAAUCAAUUUAAAAAUAAUAAUAGUAAUAAUCACCUCAUUUGUGGGAUCAGAUAUAUGUCCCCAUUAACCUUGAAUCAUGCCACCUAAACCUGAAAGAUAACGAAUUAAUUUAUGAACCAAUUAAUAUUAUUUUCAAAGUUGGAAUGACAAAAUCUGGUUGGCUUUUUCAUCCAAGCCCUAGAAGGCGGGAUGUUAUGUUUUACAUUUUUUUAAAAAAAUUUUUUCGCUAUGUUUUAUACAUAUAUAGUUAAUAAAAUUUUAUUUUUAUAAGAUUAGGCUUAAAAAAUUGGGUUUAAAGGAGUUACAACUUUCAAUCUAUUUUAUGGAAUGGUUAAAUAAUAAUAAUAAAAUAUAUUGAAAUAAAAAAUGAGUGGGACUAUUGGCACCCCUCUAAAUACCUUUUAACACCCCUUUAAUUAUUUUACAAUUUUAACCUUUAUUAAAAUUACAUAAUAAGACAAUUUCUAAUUAAACCACCACUCAAAAUCAAAUAAUUUUUUCCCCUUAAAAAUUCCUUAUUGCUAUUGGAUUUGUUAAUAGAAUCAUUGCUAUUAUCAUUGACAUAAAAUUAUUCAUUCCUCUUAAAUUUGUUCCAUUAUCACGCUCUUCACGUAAAAUCGUUGCUAAUGUAAGUGCUUUUAAGGAUUUGGUGUUUGAAGUUACCACAAAAGAAACAAUUGAUCUAGCUAGUCUACCGCGGAGAAGACGGAAAACGAGAGAAAAAAUGAUGCUUGGUGCAUUCGUCCCGUUUCGGACGUGUGUCAUCGCAGCAUUGGCCUUUGUAUUCAUCAUCGUCUUCUCCAAGUCCGCCAGUGCCAUCAACGAUUCUCAAGUCAAAUGCAGCAUAACUUGUGUUGCAGAGAACUGUAAUUCUGUUGGGAUUCGGUACGGGAAGUAUUGUGGAGUAGGGUGGUCCAGCUGUCUUGGGGAGAAACCAUGUGACGAUCUGGAUGCUUGCUGCAAGAUCCACGAUGAAUGCGUUGAUAAGAAAGGGUUGACAAAUAUUAAAUGCCACGAGAAGUUUCAGAGAUGCAUUAAGAAAGUACAGAAAUCUGCACCACUGUCUCUAUGACACAGUGGUGCCCACUAUGGUACAAGGUAUGGACAUGGCAAUCUUACUGAGCCAAUUAGGCGACUCAAAGUUUGAACUAUAACUUGUAGUUUUGGAAAGAUUAUUAUAACUGGGAAAGAGGAAUUCCCCUAUUCUUCAGACACACGCAUUCAUUGUAUGGAAAUUGAUUUUAGAAGACUUUAUAGAGAAAAACAAAUUGAUCUAGCUAGUCAAUACAAUAUUAGACAAUUUUAUAUUAAUAAAUUAAACAAGGGAUCAAAAAUUAAAUUUUAUCCACAAUCAAUUCAAGGGAUCAAAAAUUAAACAAUGGGGUUUAUACUAAUAAAUUUAAAUUAAGGGUAUUUUUGUCAUUAAAUGGGUGUUAAAAGAAUUUUAUAAUAUUUUAAUGGGGUUAAUAAAAAAAAGAGGUGUUGAGAAAUAUUUAGAGGGGUGCCAAUAGUCCCACUCAUAAAAAAUUUAUCUUUCAUUUGUUAAGUAUUUCUCAGCCCUUGUGACUAAACCUGACCUUUCAAUCAAAGCUAAAGCUCAGCCCAAGAGCUUAAAAAAAAAAUGCCGGUAGGCUGAAGCAAGUAUAAUACAAAACAAUAACUACAAAAAAAAAAAAAACAUCUUUUAAUGUUAAAAUAUAGAAAUGAUAAUUUAAAGAAAAAGAUAUAGAAAGAUAUUAUGACUAUAUUAAUAUUAAUUAGGUACAUGCUACUAGGGAAAUUGUAAGAGGUAUUCUUUUUUUUUUUUUUAAACCUAUUCCAUUGGCAUAAAAAGUUAAAAAUUUCUAUCUUUUCUGUUCAAACGUAAAUAGUUGAUAAUUGCUUUGACAGGACUUGGAUCCAUCCAUAUGUCAUCUCAGGAUUGGUUGGAGACAAUCCUUUCAACUGAGAAUAGUAUUUGGGCAUCAUCUCUAACCUCGACUGAAUGUGGUAUGUGAAUCCACCGUUCUGUUUAUCAAAGAGUAAGGUUCAUAAGAUUAUCUGGGCAUUGAUCUCACCUAAAUAAACUCAUGUUGAAGCAUUAACUAUAGUUGGUUUAGCAACUAGCAAACCUGGGCUUGAAAAGGAAUGGCACCUCCUGUGAGUAGUAGCGUGGAAGCAUUACACUAGUGAAUAAUGGAAAAUCAAGUUAAGAUCCUCCUUUACUCACCAAUAUGGCACUAAAUUGGUGAAAAAAUCCUAAUGGGAUCUAGAGCGUAAAGUUCGAAUUAUGGGGUGAUAGCAACCCAAAAUAUGCGAUUGAAUGAUGUCAAAGGUGGUUCUAAAAUUAGUUUGCAAGAAUAAAACAAUUUAGGUGGUAAAUCAAGAAUAUUACUAUGACAUUUUCUUGAGGUUUAAGGUUGACGUUUGAAGGUGUUAAGGAGUUUGACUGAGAAUGAAGGAUGGUUCUAAUUCAAGAGGGUUGCUUAAAUGUUGAUGGGAUGAUAAGGAUAAUUGGUUUAAGGUUUCUUGCGGUUAAAAAAUAUUUAAAUUAGGGUUCUGUGAAGAUAGCUGGUGAAUCAAACUGGUUCUUCAGAAACGACAGUGUUUGAGGCUUGAGAAGUUUUAUAAAGUCACGUGCUACUCACUUGCAUGUAACAGAAAACUGAUUUUACAAAACGACAUGCUAAUUAUGCGUUUUGGUCAGCAGCUUAAGUAAGCACGUGAGAGCAUGUGUGGAGCUUGAAUUAGUUAGUUAAGCUCGCUAACCACGUGUCAACAAACUGUACAAUCUAAAAAUAAACUUGUUAUUGAAACAGGGUAUAAAACCUGGGUUUUCGAGAGCUAUCUGAAAGUAAUUCUAGAGUCCUGCAGAAAGAGAUUUGAGAGAGAGAAAGCAUCAUCUUGUUCUUGGUAAAGUCUAGUAUAAGGCUCUAUAACUGUCUCUUUUGUUUAAACCAUAAAAGCUCAUCUCCCAUGAGCAUACUAUGCACAGCUGAACCACGUAAACCUUUGGCAUUCUGUGUAUUUUGUUUGGUUCUUGUUCUUUGCUGUUUCUUGAUCAGUUCUUGCUGGUGUUUUUUUUUAUUGUGUUUUGAUCUGUUCAAUCUUGUAUUUUUGUAACUUGAAUUGAUUUGGUCAAAGAGAUCUUGGGCAGUGAUUUGUUUUGUUGAGUUUAAGAACAAGCUGGUUACCAAAAAUCUUUACAAUCUUAUCCUUCCAGCAGUUCCAAAAGUAGACGAACGUCUCAAAUGAAACCUGGCUUUUACAAAUUGAAUCAUCCGAAUAUGUUGUAAGGUUCAAAACUAAUUCAUCUUCCCAAUGAUAUAUAGAGGUAUUUGAAUGAAGAUGGAAGUCCAAAAUCAUUCGAGACGAUAGUAUUUCACCUCUGAUAUUGUAAUUUCUUUUAGAAUCAACGAACUGUUGAUUCAUCAUGAGUAGGUUACUCCGAUCAUUUGGUAAAAUGCCAGCCUGUGCACAAACAAAUUCAUAGAAUUAGUUCGAGUCAUUCUUUUCCGGUGACUUUGCUUUUUGUAAGAGCUCCUCCGGCGUAAAUUGCUUUAAGGGCCAACCUCUGCUCCCACAUGACCAAAGUGAGUUGGAGAACACAAAGUUCAUAACAAGCUUACUCGCUUCUCUGAAAUUCCCAGCUUUCUGUAGCAAAUCAAUUGCAAGAAAAAUACCUCCUCCAAGUGCUGCCAUGUUUGCUGCUUCCACAGUUGAAAGUUCAAAUAAUGGCUUGCAAUUUCAAAAGGCAAAGUUGGUGGCAUGAUUUUGUUGACAGUUGCAUGGAGAAAAAUGUGGUGGUUUUCUAAAAGCCAAUCGAUUUUUUCAAAAUUGUUGAUUUCGGUUGCCAUUUUUCAAAAACUUUUGGGAACAAUGAUUAGAUGCAUGUAUGAUCUUUAGUUAUAAAUACCAGGCCAUUUGUUAAUUUGAAUGCAUUCCAAUUGAGAGAUUCGAGGGUAAUUGCAUAUGAAGCAAUUUGAAAAAUUUGAGAGAACUUUCACUUAAGUGUUUUAGCGAGAAUACAAUUAAGUAUAUUGAAGUUGUGAGUUUCAAGAGCUUUUUUCACUUUUUAUAAAUUCUCAUUAUUAGUAAAAUUAUCUUUUAUUUUUUACCGUGGACGUAGGUAUUACACUAAACCACGUAAAUUAUUGUGUCUAAUUUUCUUUAUAUUUAUUUAUCACCACAUUUAUAUUUCUUUAAAAAUCACAGUCACCAUACUAUUGAUAAUUGAUCAACCCGCACUUUCGCAACAUCCACAAAGCGACCUAAAGAGUUAAAAACUUUGUGUCUCAAAUUUAUAGAACAAAAAGCUUUAACAAACUCAAACUCAAACUCCUAUUUCUUUGUGCAAUUAUUUUUUCAACUAGUAUACAAUGGAGCAUCAUGGAGUUCUCAGCAAAUAAAAGAAAAUAAAAGAUCAAGCCCGCAGAACUUGGUAUUGUUCUUUGGAGAACUUCAAAUACAGAAAAGGGAAAAAAAUGAAAAAAGAGAUUACCAAAAAAUCAUGCUAAUAGCAGAAGAAAACUCCAGCAAGUUGGACUAGUAUAGGAAAUUUUUCUUUUUAAAAAUGAAAAACAAAAUUAAUACUCAUAAUUUCAUUGAAAAUAGCUGAAUAAUAAACUGCAGAAUUGUUGAACUUUGUGCACCAAAAUUAGAAACCGCGUCCUUGUUAGUGGCUGCUUGUUUUCGGAAAAGUUUAUACAAUUUUAACUUUUGUUCUGAGCUAUUCCUUUGCUGAAUCUGAAUACACCAAAUUUCAAUAUUGCAAGAUAUAUCAACAAUAGACCAAAAUUUCCAAUAUUGCAAGAUAUAUCAGCAAUAGUCCAUCAGAAAGAUAAAUCUCAUAAGAUAGAUAAAAGAGUACAACACUAGAACCAUAACUUCAUAUCACAUGAAGGUAGCAGAUUACUGUUAAUCCAUGCUAAAAAUCAUACCUGCUCCUUCAUACCUCCCCAAAUCAUUAAAACAUCUGACAGCUGAAUCAGCUCAGCAGCUUUCUGAAGGUUAAAGUUAGCCUAUUUAGGGUCGAAUUGAACAUAGGGUCAGCAGCUGCUUCGCUGUCAGUAGCUGUAAACCUUCCUUCCCGGUAAGUUUCUCCAUCUUUAUCAUAGCACAAUGUUGUCUUCUCAUAUUUAGAUUUACAACAUAGCCGGAAAAAAAAAAGUAAUUAACAACAUGAGCAGGGAAAUAAGGUAUCCUUAGAAAUAACCACAGAAAAACUGAAAAAAAAUAGAAAAAUAGGUACAAUAGGAAAAUGUGAUAAGUAAAGAAUGUAAAACCAUGAAUUACUGAAGCUACAUACCUUUCCCCUUUGAUUUGUGGAGGUUAAGCUUUCAGCACCAAUUUCAACUAACUCUUUACGGAGGUCUAGUCUUGCUUUGGCCACAUUCCGAUCUUCAUCAGCAUUAAAGAAACACUGACGUGCCUUAGCAUCACAUACUAAGGCUCCCCAUAUAGAUUCACUACUAAUUAAUGUUCUUUCGUUCCCCAAAAUCCAAAGACAGUGCCUAGAAUGUGUCAAAGAGAUAGCAGGUAUCAACCAAAGAUGUUUAAAAUGACCCAAAACGUAUUAUAUCAUAUGAUUUUACAUAAAAGUAAUACCUAGCUCUUGUAAGAGCAACAUUAACUCUCUGGGGCUUCGAUAUGAAUCCAAUCGAUCCACCAACAUUACACCUAACAGUGGAUAUAAUUAUAAUGUCCUCCUCCCCACCCUGGAAUCCGUCAAUUGACUUCACUUUUACAGUGAAACCAUCUUUGUUAUCAUACUCAGAUCCAAUUUUUUUGCGAAUUGCGAUUACUUGAGCAGUGUAUGGUGAAACUACACCAAUGCUGACCUUCUGUUUUGAGCCAACCCAAGCUGCAGUAUAAAGAUAGCCAAGAAUAGGUCAGAAAGCAUAAUUACAAAUUGUUUUAGCAUUAUCCAGAAGAAAUCAACCUCCUUUUCUUUUCAUUCAUGGAACUAAAUUAAAUGCUAGGUAAAUGUAAUAAUACCUGACAAAGCAAUUGAUAUGGUGCAGUCAAGAUUUCGGUCAACUAUUCAGGCUAUCAGUAAAGACUGACCAUUACAAUAGGAAACUGCUCUACAAUUCAAUUAUAAAUUGAUUAUAAAAUAUCCAAGUUCACUGCAUCAAACAAAUAUUUUGUCCCACCAUCCUAUGAAUGCACAAAAUUUUGGCACAUAAGCAAAAGGAUUACGAAAGGCUUGAUUAGAAAAAAAAAAAUCUAAAAUAUCAGAGAAACAGGUUUCACAUACAUCGAAUCGGCAAAUCAAAUCAAAAUAAAUAAUGAAUAGUGUAACAGAUGCUGAAUCAUGCUGUCGCAAGGAAACUUUUUGACAAGAUUGUGAAAAUUAUCUUGUUUUGACAAAGUCGACUCAUUAAAUCAAAUCAUGCUGAUAAGUCAGUAAAAGAAAUCAAACAAAUCUUUAAAUGAUAUCACCAAAGAUUCCUACAAAACAUACCUUUGUACAACUUCUGCAGUAUUUUAAUCACCACAGAUACCUCAACCAUAUUUCUACAGCUAUGGUAAAUGAACUCUUCGCUUCCACCAAUAAUAUUAAUGAAAGAAUAGGGGCCGAGUUCUGUCCCAGGCAAAUAGUGCUUCUCAUAGCUUUUGGUUUUAACAUUUGCACCAUCUAGGAUCUGGUUGCGAUAAAAUUGUAAAUUCGGAAAUAAGCUUAUUGAUGGAUGCAUUCUGUACUGCACAUUGAGAAGGUGCUUUGAAUGAUUCAAUGAGGUCAACCUCUCAAAUAAACUUCUUCCAAAACCAGCUUCAUCAGAAAUCUGAAAAAGCCAAAAUUGGGAACCAAAAAGCUGAGAAGAAAUAGUCAAAUGCAUAGAAAUCAGCAAGCUCAAAACUAAAUCUCCUAAAACAGAAAAGUAAAAAAGGCUAGAAGGAAACAAAUAAAGAUAAGACAAUUGACAUACUUUGCUUGCAACCAUUGCUGGUAAUUGACACUCAUCACCAAUAAGAACGGCAUGGUUUAUACCCGCGAGCUGUAGAGGUAUGGUUGAUUCACUUUCUUUUAACUGUGCUGCUUCAUCAAUAACUAGAAAGUUCAGUGGUUUUAUUUCCACUGAGUGCAGCUUAUAUGAACUUGAAGCAGUGCUAAAAAACAGAGAAGCCCUUUUAAAACAGAAAUCUUCCAGCAAUAGUUUGCUUGUAGUACAUGGAAGGUUAAGUUCAUCUAAUGAAUUCCAAAGAUUUCUUAAAACAGAAAGACAUUCACUUCUCCUCUGGUGUAAUUGCAACAGGUAUCUUUUACCCACAAAUGCCGAAGAGAUACCUUCAUCUACUGAAUGUGAAAAAAGUUUCUCCAGCUCUUCAGAAACCACAUUGUCUUUAAACAAUAAAGUCCCAAAAGUAUGAAGUAAAAUUUUAAGAGCAACCAUGUCUUGAAAACUAUUUUCCGAAAUGUACGAUUUGGGCAAAUGGGUACAAAAGAUAAAAAUACAGUUCCGAAGGGGAACUACAGCACGUUUAAAUCUCUCUUUCACAUAUUUAAGAAAUGGCUUGCACUCCCCUUUGCUCCCUUCAGUUUCCUUCCUGCAUUCUUUCUCUUCACUUUGAUUCACAUUACAGUCCUCCCUCUCCUCCAAUUUUUCCACAUAAAUAUGGUACUGAGAAACACAAUCUUCGAGAAGAUCUAUCAUGGAAGAAAAACAAUGCCGCCAACCAGAGAGCGGUGCAAAGCACUCCCUAAGUUUUUUAAUCCGAUAAUUCAAAUAUAUCUCUUCAAAACCUGGAUUAACUUUAAGUCUAUCCUUGUUCCCAAACAAGAGAAUAUCUCCAAGUGAACAAAUUGGGGUGUUGCUUCUAGGAUCCCUUUUAUAUGAUUCCUUCACUGGCCUUAGAACACGAGAGGCCAACUCUGUAAUAGCCACAUUUGUUGGGGUGCAAGCAAGGGUUCUGCAUUUAAUUCUCCAGAGGCUAAAGAGCAGCAUACUAACAGUUUUAGUUUUACCCGUCCCUGGAGGCCCCCAUAUAAGUUCAACACCAGACUUGUGAUCACAAUCCAGUCUUCUGAGACAAGCAAACACUGCACCUACUUGUGACUCAUUCAGGGUAGAUGACAAACUGGGACCAAAUUUCUCAUCCCAUUUGCCAUUUCUUUGCACAGGACAGAGUUCACACCUUUCGUCAACCUGUCAUAAAAAGAUUGAAAAUUUCAGCAUAUAAAAAAAAAAAAGAAAAAAACUUAAUAUCAGCUGGCAAAAAUGUAAAUGCAAUUAUUCUGAAGGCCCUCUCCCGCCAAAUGGAUAACAGGACACCUGUAUCAAUAUAGGUAAUUCUAAUGUCAUUGCAUCAAAACCUACAAAUUCAUCCUCAAACACUUACCACUGAAUCAGUGCCUAAAACUUGGGUAAUAACCUUCCAAUUUCCACGCAUAUGCAAGGAGUUCCAUAUUCGUUUGUUAGGAAGUAUAUUGGUCAAGUAAAUCAAAAAGAAUGGUUUCUUUGUCCCGUCAUGGACUUGCAAGUCGUUUCUGGCCUUAACUUUAUAACAAUUCUCUUUCUUAUUCUCAUCCUCAUCAUCAGGAACUGCAGUGACUGACACAAAAGUCCACAUCCUUCCCGCCCUUCGAAAAUCAGAAACCUUUUCAGGCUUAUAAUCUGCUAAAACCAAAAUAUCACCAGGCAAUGUUUUGUAGGGCUCUUUGCCACUGUUAUUGAUUGUGUUCCUCCAGAAAUCAACCUCAACACUAUAUUUAUUUGCCCCGUGGGGCUUUAACUCCUCAAAAGCUAUUACUUCAGCAUAAGGUGCUCUACGCAUAGCCUCCAAGCCUGAACGCAAUUGCACACGCGUUUCUUCCAACAAAGGGAAAACAAACGGCCCAAAAUACUGCUUAACAGAUUGAAAAGACUCUGGGAUUUUUUCCACCUGAAAGGGAUGCAGUUUAAAAUAGAAAAUCAAUAAAAAAUUUGGCUAUUGAGAUCUUUCUAAUUUUACAUUUAGAACAGAAUUAUGAUAAUGAUAAGUAAUAACGAAAACACUAGAUUCAGUUUAUAGUAGAUGACUCAAAAUGACCAACCGAAUAUAUAAAUAUAAUUGGAAGGGAUAGAUGCUAAUGAUACUAAUUAAAAUCUUGAAUAAAAACAAGGCACAAGUGCAGACUAUCAAGAAUAGAGCAGAAUAUUUAUGGCACCAAGUGGAUUAAAUUGAUCUAACAACACUAAUAACAUGCAUGGAAACCAGGAGAGACAAAUUUUAAAACCUGGUCCUUGAAAUAGCUAUCAUUGAAAAUAUUCUCAAGUGACCAAGAAAACACUGUAUGUUCCGUGAAGCCUACUGCUUUCUUCGUGCUGCUGCUGCAACCUUUACCUUCCAUCAUUUCUUCACUCUAUGAUUCCUGUACCAUCAACCAACAAACAAUGACAGUGUUUUAUUUAUAUUUUAAUUGUUUUGAAAUGAAUGACGACAGUGCGGAAAACCCAUUUCACUAGCACCCUUUAAAUACCCAAAAGAAGGGGGUUGGUUCACUAGAAAGCAAAGAAAUGGAAGGACAAGGAAUCACCUCGUACGAGCACUAAGUAAGGAACAAAGAUUAAAGAUAUGAGUUUGCCUAGACAAUGUAGCAAAACAGCAAAAGUCUUUCCAUUUCCUUUGCUUUUUUUAAAUUUUUAAAUUUUUAAUUUUUGUCAUUUUGGAGUCCAUAUUUCAGUUUCUACUUUUCCGUUCCCGCUCGUUUCCUUUAAUAGCGAAAGUAGUGAUCACCCUGGCAGGGCAAUAGCUGCUACUGCUCCUAUUUCUUUUACUUUUCUUUUCUAUUUUCUCUUUUUGUUUACUUAACUUAUAAUUACGGGAUCGUGUAAUUGUCUUUAUAAUAGUAUUAGACAUUUUAAUAUUUUGAUUUUAAUUUAUAUUUUAACUAAAUGUGUUACUCAUUUAUAAAAUAAAAUUUUUUAUAAUUAAUAAAAUUAAUAUUAUAUCAUCUAAUAAAUAAAUAUCACAUUAAUUAAGAUUCAUAUUAAAAUCCUAACUAUUCUUAACUUCGGAACAAUAUAUUACCACCAUCGGGCCACGUAGCAUAAUGACAGCACAUACUCCUUCAUGUGUGAGAGACUCUAUUCUUCCUACAUUGCAGCAGACUUCUCCUUGAAUUAUAUAUUAGAAAAAGAAAGAAAGAAAGAAAGAAUUUUACUUCUCAACGCAUAAUUGGCAAUUUGGGUCUCUAUGAAAUUAUAUUGACGGGUCUCAAUAGAUUUUUUUUUUUUUUUUUGCAUAUCUAUAGUAUUAUAUUUUGUAUUUAAAAUAUACAACAUAUUGUCAACAAUUAUAAUUAUUUAUCAUCUUUUAAUUCUUCAUUGUUUAUUGAUUAUUUUGGUAGACAAAAUAAAAAAAAUAAAAUCGAAAGAUCAUCCGAAUUGCAACUUUACAAUCUUUUAUUAGACCGGUCAUAGAAUGCGGAACAUAUUCACAUUCACUCAACUAAUGCUUAGACUCGCAUCAUGUGUGAACACGAAGAAACUAAAACCCUUCAAAUCAAUCAGCUAGCUAACACGUGCCAUCCAGCCAUCUGUUUUCAGUUUGUACUUUUCAGUUCCCACUCAUUUGCUUUCAUAGCGAAAGUAGUGAUCAUCCUGGCAGAGCAAUAGCUGCUACUGCUCCUGUUUCUUUUACUUUACUUUUUUAUUUUCUCUUUUUAUUUACCUGACUUAUAAUUACGGUAUCUUGUAAUUGGCUUUAUAAUAGUGUUAGACAUUUUAAUAUUUUAAUUUUAAUUUAUAUUUUAAUUAAUGUGUUACUCAUUUAUAAAAUAAAAAAUUUUAUAAUUAAUAAAAUCAAUAUUAUAUCAUUUAAUAAAUAAAUGUCAGAUUAGCUAGAACUCAUAUUAAAAUCUUAAUUAUUCUUAACUUCGAAAUAAUAUAUUACCACCAUCGGGCCACGUAACAUAAUGACAGCACAUACUCCUUCAUGUGUGAGAGACUCUAUUCUCCCUACAUUGCAGCAGAUUUCUCCUUAAAUUAUAUAUUAAAAAAAAAAACAAAGAAAGAAAGAAGUUUACUCCUCACCGUAAAAUUGGCAAUUUGGAACUGUAUGAAAUUAUAUUGACUGGUCUCAAUAGAUUUUUUUUUAUUUCAUAUCUAUAGUAUUAUAUUUUGUAAUUAAAAAUAUACAGCAUGUUGUCAACAAUGAUAACUAUUUAUCAUCUUUUAAUUCUUCAUUAUUUAUUGAUUAUUUUGGUAGACAAAAAAAAAAUAAAAUGGAAAGAUCAUCCGCAUCACAACUUUACAAUCUUUCAUUAGACCAGUCAUAAAAUGCAGAACAUAUUCACAUUCGCUCAACGAAAUCCAUAUGACAUAUUCAACGGAUCGAAUUCGAAUGAAUGGUAACUUCGUAAUUAAGCAACAUUAAAUGCUUAGAUCGCGUCAUGUGUGAACACGAAGAAACUAAAACCCAUCAAAUCAACCAGCUAGCUAACACGUGCAACACGUGCAACAGGCAAAUCGACAUGAAAUUCGAAAAAGAGAAGUAAUCAACCCCAUUCCUUUGACCAAUUAGUAAUUAGAAUAACCAGGAACUAAAUAAAUUGAAAUGUGAGUGAGUAGUAGAAAUCACAAUAACAUGUUUACUUAAAUUAUAAAAUUAGAAUCAAAAUGAAUAUAUUCAUAUUCAUAUGUUUACUUUAUUUUAGAAUUAGAAUAGAUUGUUUCAAGUUACUAAAAUAUCCUUAAUUAAUUAAUGUUGUUUUUAUUAUUAUUUGUUAUAAUUAUUACGGUUCUUGUUAUUCAAGAAAAUUAAUUUUAGCAAUAAUAAUAAUAAUAUAAUCAUCAUCAUCCUCAUCAUAGUCCUAGUUGCUGUUAUUAUUAUUAGUAUUAUUUUCAUUUUCAUUAUCAUUUUCACUACUUUUUUACUAUCAUUAUUAUUAUUAACAAUAAUGACAAGAAUAAUGAUAAUAAUGAUGACAAUAAGAUAAUAAUAUAACAAUAUUUUAAUUAGAAACAAAAGUAGAGUUAUGAAAUUUGGGGAGGGAUGAAAUAUUGAGUUUAAGGAAUAAGAACUUGAUUUCUAAGUCCCAACAACUCCCCUUCCCAAUAAUCAAGCUCCUAUUAUUUUCAGUUUCCACUAUUAGAAAACAAGUAAUAGAUGACGAGAAAUAUUGUUAUAAAAGGGGGUAUAUGAUAAAUAAUUUAUUCAUCGUCUAAGUUAGUAUCCCUCAUUUAUGACAAAAUUCUUUUCGUUAUAAGUUUAUGAUAGUUUUUAAUAGUUAUACAUAUGUUACACCAUAUUUUAGUGGGAAAUUCAAUAUUAUUUGAAUUUUCAUGCCAUUUUUAGAAUCUUUGGUGGGAAACUUAUUAUUAUUUCGACAAAACUUAUUUCAAAAUGACCUAAGUAAAUCCCAUAUCGACAAAGUACGAGAGAUAUGUUGGGCUUAUAAAAGGUGAUCUACACCUUAAUUGGCGAGAUGGGUUUUUAGGUGUAAGGGUGCCCUAAAAACAAAACUGUGCGGGCUUUGUUAAGGUCGAAAAUAGAUAAUAUCUUGUCAGGUCUUGGUUGAGUCAUGAUAGAUGGUAUCAAACCGGCUCCAUGUGCAUUCUUAAAUGAUGGUGGGGCAAACCUCAAAAAAGACACUGAAUCCCUAAGGGAGUGUAUGUAACAUUCUAAGUAAAUCCUACAUUGGCAAAACAUGAAAAAGAUGUUGUGUUUAUAUGGGGUAAUCUGCACCUUAAUUGGCGAGAUACGUUUUUUAGGUGUGGGGGUGCUCUAAAAACAAAACCGUGCGGGCAUUGCUAAGGCCCAAAAUUGAUAAUAUCUUGUCAGGUCUUGGUUAAGUCAUGAUAGAUGGUAUUAGACCGGCUCCACGUGUAUUCUUACAAGAUGGUGGGGCAAAUCUCAGCGAUGACACUAAAUCCCUAAGGGGGGGUGUAUGUAACAUCUUAGGUAAAUCUCACAUUGACAAAACACGAAAGAGAUGUUGAGUUUAUAUGGGUGAUCUGCACCUUAAUUGGUAAGAUGCGUUUUUGAGGGUAUGUGCACCUUUAAAACAAAACUGUGCAGAAUUUGUUAAAACCCAAAGCGAACAAUAUUUUGCUAGGUCUGGGUUGGGUCAUGACACAAAAUAUUAUUUUUACUAUUAUUUUAUUAAUAUUAAUUUAUUAUUAAUUAAUAUAUUUAUAACAAUACAAUUCUCAAAUUCUUCAAAUUUAAUUUUAUAAAUAAAAUUUGUUAUCCUAAAAAAAUGUAAAAUAUAACACCUAUAGUUAAAAAAAAAUCCAAUAAAUUAAAAAAAAUGAAGUUUAUAUGUAUUCAAACUACAAUAUUCAUCUAACAAUACAAACUUUAUCAUUAAAGUAUUCAAAAUUACUUAAACCCCACAUUUUACAAAAUAUCCUAAUAUAAGUAACCACCGAUAGCAAAAUAUUUUGCGCCAAAAACUAACGCCCACCAAAUUCUAGUAGUAAAUCACUUGUAGAGUCUUAGCAAUGAGAGGCCAGCAAUUAAUGCCUCCCCCGAUCACCACCACUCUUUUAUUCUCUCCUCUUCAUUUGUUAUCCAUGCCCUCAAAUUUGCAUUUGCAAAUCCUUUACAUGCAGUCUUGAAUUAUAGCAUCAUGAAAAAUUACCAAAAAAAAAAACGUUUAGCAAGCAUUUUACUAUUUUUUUUAUCAAAGAAGCUUACCACAAGCAAAAUAUUUUAAGUAACAAGAAUUGACGAGAACAUCUUCUGUUAGUACUCACACGUUAUACAUUUAUGUAAUGUUAAGCAUCGAAAAAUGGUCUGGAAUCUAAUAACCAAGAAUAGGUUUACAUACUGCACUUGUCAAAUGUAUAACAGAGGAGAGAUAAUUAUUAGAAUUUUAAGCACAAUUAGGGAAAAAAAUAGGAACAAAAGUGAAGAUUUCAGUAAAAGAAAAAGAUUGAGUUGAAACAACUACUACUUAAUGACGCAAAAGAAUAUUAUGGGUAUUUCAUGCGUAGAUACAUUAUUCCAUUUCCAAACACAAUUAAAGUGUAUACUCAACCAAACACUUGGCAGCUUGAUGCCAAGAGAUAAGUGGUUUGAACCGCUAUUUUAAAUUAUUCAUGAAACAGAAAAUUGGAAAAUAAAAGUAAACUACAAAAACAGAGUGCGCUGGGAAUGCAAGUUGAAACUACAACAACAGAGUUCGCUGGAAGUGCAAGUUGAAACUACAACAACAGAGUGCGCUGGAAAUGCAAGUUGAAAUUAUACCUUGCGUAUAAAAAAAAACAGUUAAAGCAAAUAGAUGAAAUUCAAGUCCCUUCUCUUCAAUGUGUUUUGAGGUAGGUUCUAUUUUAAUAAAAGACUAGUUAGUGGAGUAGGGAUAUUAUUUGAAGCAAAUAAUACAAUAGGAACCAAAUAUUGUAAACAUACACAUGCAUCCAAUGCAAGUUAGGUAACACUAGAUGCUGCUAGGUAUGUAGAUUUCUUAAAAGCAAUGUUAGGCUGAGUCUUUAUUAAAGCCUCAAGUGAAAACACCAAGGAAACUAUUUUAAUGGUAGCAUGGGGUAAAGAACUUCCAAUUUGAAGCCCUUUAAUCUUAAAUCUCUUAAAAGUUGACUUAGUACAAGCUUUCCUUUCUCGUCUACACAACUAAAAGCUUGAAACAAAAAAAACAUAACUUCUAACCAAUUUGGUACUCAAAACAACAUUGUACAAUUAAAAGAAGACAAAAGUACAGGAAAUACUUACAUUAGUAAUUGUCACGACCUGACCAUCGCAUGUGAGAAUUAGGAAUAUUUUAACUAUUACAGCAUAUUGAAAUUAUAUUUCAAAAACACUACAAUGAUAAAUUUGUCUAUUAUUUUUGUGAUUUAAAUCAAAGUGGCAGAAAUUGAAAUUCUCACAAGAAAACCUAAGUUUCACAACUUAUUUAAAAUUUGAUACUAGUCAGAACAUUGAAACUUUUUGAAAUGUUAAUGGACAUGUAAAUGCACCACAUAUAAAAAUUCCAAGUCAUUUUAGUAACAUUUCAUUAGGUUUUAACAUGAUAAAACAACGUCAAUCAAAAUGGUUUAAACUAUGUCAAUACAUGUGGAGUCCACUAUUUUCAUUCUCAUUGUCCCUUUCAUUUUGUAAGUAAACAACAUUAAUGAUUCUGAUUCCCAGCAUCAAUAUUAAUGGUUCUAACUCUUGAUCCCAUUCAUCAUAAACACAUACAGCAUUAAAUUGUUUACUUAUAAGAAUUGAAAAGAGCUGCAUUCCUUUUGAUUUAUUUACUUUAUCUUCGAAUAGGAAUGGCUUGUUUUAAGUUGCUAAAAUAUUCUUAAUUAAUUAUUGUCAUUUUUACUAUCAUGUUUUACAAUAAUUGUGAUUAUUAUUAUUAUUAAAAAUUACUGUUAAUAAUAAUAAUAACUAUUAUUCUUGUAGCAACAACAACAAUAGUAAUAAAAGUAAUGAUGAUGAUGAUGAAUAUGAUGAUAUUAAUAAUAACAAUAAUAAUGAUAAUGAUAAUACUAAGAACAACAACAAAAAUAAUGACGAUGAUCAUAAUAAUAAUAAUAAUAAUAAUUUAAUUGAGGACAAAAGUGAAAUUAUAAAAUUUCAUUAGGGCAAGAUAGUAAGUUCAAGGAAUGAGAAAUUGAUUCCUAUUGUUGUAUAUUUCUAAUUUUAUGUCGGGCCCACUAUUUUCAUUCUCAUUCCUCCUUCCAUUUUCUCAAGUAAACAACAUCAAUGAUUUUGAUUCUGGAUUCCCAUAACCCGUACAUUAAAGAUGGGCUUGUAACUAGAUAAAUUUAAAGUUGAGGGCAUGAAUUUGAGUUGGUAGAUUUAUGGAUUUUCAUAUUUCUAACAAAUAGAUGAUUGUAAUGCCUAUUGUAAUCAAUUUAAAUAUAAUAAUAAUAAUAACAACAACAACAACCUCAUUUGUGGGAUCACAUAUAUGUCCAUAUUAGCCUUCAAUGAUGCGACCUAACCUAAAAGAUAAUGAAU
rnacentral:lncRNA from 1 species